rnacentral:lncRNA from 1 species
AUGGACUGUGCUGAGCUUCCGCUGAAUAUAGUCACCACAGACGAGGAAAACCAAGAGAGUGAUCUCAGAUACAGACCACAUGGGUUGGAGUCCUCCAAGGUCAGACUCAGAACCAUGACAAUUCUGCAGAAUACUGCAAGGCUCAUUGGAAAUCCUGUCUUGGCAUAGCAACUACAUGUUACCACUGCACCUCUUAAAUCACACAAAGACCUCCAAGGCAGAAAUAACUCCAUCAUGACGAUGGGAAGAGGGCUCUGCAGCUGUGUGACUGCACCUGCUUUUUUGUGAUGCGACCUGCAGAGGAUGCACUGAAUUUGCUAGUGCUAAGAAUCACUCCUCCAGGUUCCUUCCAUGCUGGCAUGCCUCUGUUCUGUAGCCCUUUGAUCUGGCUAAUUCAUGCCAGGCAAAAUAAAACACAAACUCACUAAAAUGCUGUAAGCCCA